rnacentral:tRNA from 1 species
GGAGAGAGAGGGAUUCGACCC